CACCUCCAGCAUUUCUAGUAUUGGAGGCACUGCCUGCCCAGUGACACUUGUUUAACGGCCGCGGUAUCCUGACCGUGCAAAGGUAGCAUAAUCAUUUGUUCUCUAAAUAAGGACUUGUAUGAAUGGCCACACGAGGGUUUAACUGUCUCUUACUCCCAAUCAGUGAAAUUGACCUUCCCGUGAAGAGGCGGGAAUGCCACAAUAAGACGAGAAGACCCUAUGGAGCUUUAAUUAACUAACCCAAACUUAUGGAUACUAAAUACCUACAAGGCAUAACAUUACACCAUUAUUGUGGGUUAGCAAUUUAGGUUGGGGUGACCUCGGAAUAUAAAAAAACUCCCGAGUGAUUAAAAUUUAGACCCACAAGUCAAAAUAUAACAUCACUUAUUGAUCCAAUAAUUUUUGAUCAACGGAACAAGUUACCCUAGGGAUAACAGCGCAAUCCUAUUCAAGAGUCCAUAUCGACAAUAGGGUUUACGACCUCGAUGUUGGAUCAGGACAUCCUAAUGGUGCAGCAGCUAUUAAGGGUUCGUUUGUUCAACGAUUAAAGUCCU
rnacentral:rRNA from 1 species